rnacentral:rRNA from 1 species
UGGUGAAGUAAUUUGUCUGAUUAAUUUCGGUAACGAACGAGACCUCCUUCUUAUAUUUUACCUAUUUUCUUUGGUGUGCCAUCCUUUGGGGCUUUUGUCUCUCUGUUUGGUGUGUCUGUGUGGGAAUCUAGAAACAUUUUAUGAGGGACGGCCCACAAUAAGUGGGAGGAAGUGAGGCAAAAACA